ensembl:lncRNA
CUGAAGAGUCGUGGAUGGAGCAAAUUAAAAGUUCUGCCCAAAAUUCAGUGCUUCAGUGACCAUGGUUUCUCCUCUGCGAAGGCCCUCCUGUUGCCUUAGAAAAUUAUCAUCCCGUUUACUUAAUUAGGCUGACUCCAAGCUUUAGGCAUCGGCCUGCCAAGAUGAUGCACACAGCUCUUGUCUAUUUGCCCUCAGCAAGCUUGCCUGCCUUGCCCUCUUCUGUGCUCUGAAACCCAGAAAUUCCACACAGAUGAUGCUAUUCACAUCAAACAGAGGAUGCAUAAAGUCAUGGUGAUUGUAAAGACGUGGUGGGCAUAUUUCUGCACUGCAAAACUCAGGAACACGGCCUGCCAGGUAGUUCAUCCCCACGUGCUGGAGGAGCCGUGCCCUUUGGUUGUUCAUCAUCAAUAGGACUGAAAGCCUCUUGGAAAAAAAAGAGAGUCAAUGACCUCUAUAGCAUCACGUCAAACUUCCAGACUGCUGAUCAUCACAGUGUCAGUCCUUCAUUUUAGAGAAGUUUCUCUUUUACAGUACUAGCGCGGGGUUCUGGUGGCAGCAUUUGGAGAAGGAAUGGUGAGCUAAAGUGUGAAAAGUGAAUGCAAAAGGCUGUGGAAAGAUGUAUCCACCUGGUUUUACUGAAGAAAACAAUACAGCUCCCCAAGUGCUGGUGAAGCCCUUUCGUUGCUUUUUGCGUGGUUCAGCUCCUGCUUCCCUCUGAUUUCGUUAGUGUUUGGCCGAAUCCCAAUUCCUUUUGAAGAUGAUUAAUUGCAGAACAGCUUAUCCUUAUUAGUGGUACUCAGACCCAACUGAAUUUACCAAAGAAGUAAUUACCAGGGUCUUGGUGAUGGGUUUCCUAUUGAAAACGCU